UACAGAGGGUGCGAACGUUGCUCGGAAUUACUGGGCGUAAAGCGCGUGUAGGCGGGGCUGCAAGUCAGAUGUGAAAGCCCCGGGCUCAACCCGGGAACUGCAUCUGAAACUGCAGCCCUUGAGUAUCGGAGAGGGUGGCGGAAUUCCUGGUGUAGAGGUGAAAUUCGUAGAUAUCAGGAGGAACACCGGUGGCGAAGGCGGCCACCUGGACGAUUACUGACGCUGAGACGCGAAAGCGUGGGGAGCAAACAGG
rnacentral:rRNA from 1 species